AUAUGUAACAUGCGUGACAAUAAUCAAUGAAUAUCCAGUAUCAAAUGAUAUGAAAUACAAUGGAAUGGGUAUACACAUUUCAAUGGCUAAACAGCAUUUUCUGUCAAGACUUACACGAUUUAUGAGGUAUCCUUACAGACACAGAAAGCGAAGCUUUUCACAGCGAAGGGCCAUAAAACCCUGGCUAACAGUUAGAUCAACUGAAUAAC